rnacentral:rRNA from 1 species
AACGUCGGCGCCCCCCUUUCUCCUUCUUUCCUUUUCUUCAAUUUCUUUUAUUUGGUAGUGUAAGUCUGGCGUGAAAUUUUUCGGCUUAACCGGGAAAGGUCGUCGGAUACUGCACAACUAGAGGACGGUAGAGGCGUGUGGAAUUCCGGGUGUAGUGGUGAAAUGCGUAGAGAUCCGGAGGAACACCAGUGGCGAAGGCGACACGCUGGGCCGUACCUGACACUGAUGCGCGACGGCAUGGGGAGCAAACAGG